GACGAACGCUGGCGGCGUGCUUAAUACAUGCAAGUCGAACGGAAAGGCCCUGAGCUUGUGGGGUGCUCGUGUGGCGAACGGGUGAGUAACACGCGUGUAACAUGCCCCUGUCUUUGGGAUAACUUCUGGAAACUGGGGCUAUUAUCGCAUAGGAGCUCCUGAUGCACGGUGUGGGAUGGAAAGUGUCGGCGGUGGGGGCUGGAUUCGCGGCUUAUCAGCUUGUUGGGCGGGUAGGGGCUUACCAAGCCUGUGACGGGUAGCCGGCCUGGGAGAGUGACCGGCCACAUUGGGCCUGAGGGAGGGCGCAGACGCGUACGGGGGGCAGUGGUGGAGAAUCUUGCGCAAUGGGCGGAAGCCUGUGACAACGGCGCUGCGUGCGGGAUGAUGGCCUUCUGGUUGUAAACAGCUGUCGACUGUGACGAAGCGUGAGUGACGGUAAUUGGUAAGAAAGCACCGGCUAACUACGUG
rnacentral:rRNA from 1 species